rnacentral:hammerhead_ribozyme from 1 species
AUACAGCUGACGAGUUCCAAAUAGUACGAAAUCCGCAUCCUGAAU